GAUCGGGUCCUCAUGCGGCAGGAACUUCCGAACCGGGUCAGGCCUUGACGGGAGCAGCCCUAAGGGAGGCCUCCUGGGUGUUAUGGGGGUGCCUGCUCUUC
rnacentral:SRP_RNA from 1 species